GAAUCUUCUUUAGUUACCAUUAGAGGUCCUGCUGAGGCUGCUGUUGAUGCGGUUCAUGCCAUAUUGAAAGAGCUGGUUCACAAGUCUAUCAAUGAGACUCCGGAGUUAAAGCAAUAUCCUGCUCUCAGAGUGGAGGUUGGAAAUGCUGCUAUUGAGUCACUCGACAGGAUGAAGGAGGAAAGCAGAAAAGCUACACUUAAGCUAGUCGAUAUGGAGAGUAGCUACCUAACAGUUGAUUUCUUCAGGAAGCUUCCUCA
rnacentral:misc_RNA from 1 species